GUGGCGUUACUCUAUUUUUCCAUCACAGCAAUCUCGUCAAAAUCUUUUAUUUUCAAAACAAAACAUCGUUGUCAAGCGGAAAAUGUCAACCAUCAACAGACAUGAAACUUCCCAGUUAGUUCAACAACCAAGUAGGAGAAACUCCGCUGUGCCUUUAGGAUGUCAGAGUGAUCUGAAUGCUGCUGGUGGAAAUUUUAAAAAAUACCUAUCAGGAAGCAUCGAUCCUUUGUAUCCUGGGGCC